AUGGUCCUGAGAGUGCCAUGGAUGUUUGCUUUAAUCUCAUUUCAGUGUAAACCAUUCAAACUUUGGCUGGUCUUCCAGGAUGUUGCUACCAUCUCCAGUGAACCACCGUGGAAUGAACAGCGUCUCAGGGGUUCUCUGAAUCCUAACCCUGUUCCGCCAAAGCCACCCUUUCUACUAAGUUAUUGUCUCCAAAAUCUGCCUCCCUUCUCCUUGAGUCUACCUUCCUCUGUUCCUGGCCCAAGCAAACUCAUCCUUCAGUCUCU
rnacentral:lncRNA from 1 species